rnacentral:rRNA from 1 species
GACGAACGCUGGCGGCGUGCCUAAUACAUGCAAGUAGAACGCUGAAGGAGGAGCUUGCUUCUCCGGAUGAGUUGCGAACGGGUGAGUAACGCGUAGGUAACCUGCCUGGUAGCGGGGGAUAACUAUUGGAAACGAUAGCUAAUACCGCAUAAGAGUAGAUGUCGCAUGACAUUUGCUUAAAAGGUGCAACUGCACCACUACCAGAUGGACCUGCGUUGUAUUAGCUAGUUGGUGAGGUAACGGCUCACCAAGGCAACGAUACAUAGCCGACCUGAGAGGGUGAUCGGCCACACUGGGACUGAGACACGGCCCAGGCUCCUACGGGAGGCAGCAGUAGGGAAUCUUCGGCAAUGGACGGAAGUCUGACCGAGCAACGCCGCGUGAGUGAAGAAGGUUUUCGGAUCGUAAAGCUCUGUUGUAAGAGAAGAACGAGUGUGAGAGUGGAAAGUUCACACUGUGACGGUAUCUUACCAGAAAGGGACGGCUAACUACGUG